AUGACAAGCACUUUGAAAAGAGGGUGAAAAGAGCCUGAAACCGUCACGGGGGAAGCGUGUUGCGUUGGGUUUUACGGUCGUUGCGUGUUCAGCCAAAGUUUAUUCUGCGGUGCAUUGGCGUAGCGACCUGUCUGUCGUGGGUUUCGGUUGGUCGAUUUUGGACCGACCGGGGCUGAGGGCUCCCUUUUACAGGUGAGGACGAUGGAAUGACGACGCGAUUCGACCCGUCUUGAAACACGGACCAAGGAGUCUAGCGCGACUGCGAGUCAAAGGGUGCAAGCCUGAGGGCGCAGUGAAAGCGAGUGUGAAAACGAGCAGUUUGGGGCGGCAUGAGAUCGUUGAUUUCAAGUCUGACCUAGAGCAGUUGCGCUGGGACCCGAAAGAUGGUGAACUAUUCCGGAUUGGGGUAAAGCCAGAGGAAACUCUGGUGGAGGCCCGUAGAGGUGCUGACGUGCAAAUCGCUCUCGCGAAUUUGGAAUAGGGGCGAAAGACUCAUCGAACUAUCUAGUAGCUGGUUCCCUCCGAAGUUUCUCUCAGGAUAGCGGGCCGACGAGUGUUGUUUUGUGC
rnacentral:rRNA from 1 species